rnacentral:tRNA from 1 species
GUUGUGGCUCAGAGGUAGAAUGCUUGCCUACCAUCCAUGAGGUACUGGGUUCGAUCCUCAGCACCACA